UUACCGCCUUACCAAUUUUUUUUUUUUAAUUCCAUAGUAAAUAAAAGAAAAAAAAGGGGUAAAAAUUUCUUGGAAAUUGCCAGAAAAAUCCGAAGAUUUUACUCGCAAACAAUCGGAGAUCAAUUUUCAGAAGUCACAGUUGUUUACAGCUAGUUAUGGUGAAAAUGACAUGGCAACCUCUUCUGCACUGCUGUGAUCUUAAUGGAAAAGGCAGAAGAAGUAUUCCUUUGUUUCCAAGCUUUCAAGUAACAUGAGAGGUUACAUUCCUGUUCCUAACAUUUAAUGGAUGCGUGCGUUUGGUGGAUUUUUUUUUAAAAUUGCUAGGACCUGUAAUUCCUUUGCAAAUACUGAAAGAAAGAUUCAAGGGAAAGUUUGAGGCUUUUGUCUUUUAGCAAGAUCAAUUGAAUUAAGUUGUUAAAUUUUGAACUUGCGGAGGGAGUGUUGGAACAAGUUUACCCCUCAUGAGAUAUGAUAAGUUUUAGUAGCUGCUGUAUCAGUAAGCAGAGUGAAACAUAAUGGAUCCUCGAUGCCUUUAAUUUGAAGUGUUGACAAUGGAUUUGGAGGUAUAGAUAAUAAGAAUGAAUAUAUAAUGUCAAAUGUUGUAUUUAAUGGUAAAGGAGAAAUUUAGGUAAUAGGAGUAAUAGAUUGAGCUUUUUUGGAAGACCAGGAAAAAGAUAACUUUGUAGAAAAUGUCUUGUAUCUUGCGCUGGUUGAAACUAAACUAUCUAAGUUGAAUGAUAUUGAUGUUUGUUUUGCAUA